CAUGGAAUCACUUUAUGUAUUUGUGACGGACCGCCUGGCACCCUGACAGAGUGCCCCCAGUGUCCCCAGUGUCAAUUCGAAUGGUUGUCGUUCGUCUGUUUGAACUGAAUUUAACAUGGGAAAUAGACCGGCCGCACAGCCUGAAUCUCUGGAACUGUUUUGAGCAUGAAAAUGUGCGUGCGGUCCGUCACAAAAGGACUUCCAGCUAACUUUUUAACCCCUGGAUGGAACUGGCUGAAUCACUGCUUCCCAGUACCUCUGAGUACAUCCAAGCACUUAACCAGACACCAUCAUCACUGUAGACACUUUGCCGUCGCAGCUUGGCUGGAGUCUCGCUGUCCUCCACACACCAUGGAGACAAAGAAAAUGUCCAUAUCGGCUGUUUGGCUAAUACCCACUUCAAUAAAAUUUAGAUGCGACACAUUCUCCCAAACCUAGAAACAGAGGGCUACAUUAGUUGUUUAUUCACAAAUGUUGAAGUGACAACUUCCAAAAUGUCUAAUCACUAAUAGAUAUUUUUUUUAUAUUUUAUAUCUAAAUGUCAAUUAGGUUGGUGUAAAACAUAAUGGUUAUAAAAUAUAUUCCACAAUUGUUCAGAUUGUUUAGAAACUGGGUAGAUAAAACUACUUUAAAUACA